UACGUAGGGUGCGAGCGUUGUCCGGAAUUAUUGGGCGUAAAGGGCUCGUAGGCGGCUUGGUAAGUCCGUUCUGAAAGCCCGGGGCUCAACCCCGGGAGGCGGAUGGAUACUGUCAAGCUUGAGUCCGGAAGAGGAGAGUGGAAUUCCUGGUGUAGCGGUGAAAUGCGCAGAUAUCAGGAAGAACACCCGUGGCUAAGGCGGCUCUCUAGUACGGUACUGACGCUGAGACGCGAAAGCGUGGGGAGCGAACAGG
rnacentral:rRNA from 1 species